GGUGUUGAAAAAGAGGGCAUUAUUUUAAGGGACGAAAGUAGAGGUGCAAAAAGUUUUAGGAUAAAUUGCAAUUCUCUAGAUAAGGUAGCAGUAACUAUGAAAAUGGCAAAAAAUAAAUGAUCUAGUACGUAAAGUAUAUGUGGUAUCAUUACAGUAUAGCAACAGCAAAAUUCAAAAAUAGGAUACAAAGUAGAUCAUAAUAUAAUGCAGAUCUUGUUUAUAAAACUUUCUUUGUCAGUCAUGAAAACAUAUGACAAUCUUGUAAUUAUUUCUUUUAAACUUAUCGGCUUCCAGUACAGAGUAAAUAGUUAAUGUAUGCACUUAUACAUGUCCUUUUACAACUAUAAUAGAUAAUUAAACAUCUGUACUUACUCUAUACCGCUUUAAAUUCCAAAAUUUUGCAAUGUGAUGUCUGUGUGAAUUUCAGUUAUAUCCCGCCAAAAUGCAUUAAAGAUUGCUGACAUUAUACUCACGUUUCCCUCCAAAAAUGUUACAGCUGUAAUUUUGAGACAUGACCAUUUUACAGCUGUAACUUUCAACAGUAAAAUUUUUACAGCUGUAAAUUGGGACAUUCAUAUUUUACACCUGAAAAUUUCAACUGUAUUUCUGACCAUUUUUCCACUUACAGGUCUUUUACAGUUGUAAUUUCAAAAUACAGGUCUUUUACAGACGUUUUACAGCUGUAAAACAGGUCCUUUUUUCGUACAGGUUAAUCUGUACUGGUGUUGAUUUCUUUAUCAUCGCCAGCUUAACAUUUGCUGGGCAACGAAAUCCUUCUGCUAUGUCUACGAUUUUUACUGCCUCUAUGUAUUCUUUUCUUCUGUCAAUAACUCUUAUGACAACAGAUUGUAAUAGGAACGGAUAGGUCUAUCAAAUACUCCUUCAAGAUCAGUGUCGGUCCGAGGUCCUUUUGAAAUUUUUAUCUUCAUAUAACUCAAUGGUUUCUCUGUUGUUGAUCUUCGACUAUCCCCGUAAUGUUGAUGCCAUUGUCAGUGCAACAUUUACACUGGGUUACGUGUUGGUAUUCCCUGAGACCAUACGUUUGUCAGUCUACAGCUCGAAUCUCUGUCUCGGUGCAGAUAUAUCCAUCAUCAGGACAAUUAAAAAUCUGGAAAUGCGGUCUAGUUGAACAGGAGCCGACAGGACACGUAGGCUUUGCAAAAAAUAAAAGUAAACUGUAUAAAUGCAUGUAGAGUAGAGAUAUGUAGGAACGAAACAUUUACUUGAAAUCUAAAUUUUGUUUAUUGUAUAUUAACGUUGCGAAACUGCACUAUGUACCUUGAAUAUAAAAGAGAUAAAUAAAUUCGUUUUUAAUAAAACAUGUUCUCUAAUGAGCAUAAAUAACCACCUUGUUUAAAUUGAUUGACAGGAUAAAACAUCAUGCAAAGAGAAAAUAUUGGGGGAUAUAACAUCGCAGUUGAACCAUUUUGAGCAUAGAAGUUCUGAAAUAAUGAAAAGUAGACCGUCAAAAAGUACAGAAAAAAACUGCCUGAUUGAUAUCAAAUAAUGAAAAGCUUGAAAUGAAGAUCUGCAUUUUACUAAAGACGUUGAAAGAAUUACAUCAGAUUGUUCUUUUCUCUCUUUCUUCUCUUAAUAUCCGAAUGUAAUUCGCCGAUUAAACCCAACACCCCUUGCACAGGACCCAAGGAUUUAAACCUGAGAUAGAGCUGCUCGAUAAAAGAAGACUGCAAUACAUAAUAUACAAUAUGGAGACACAACAAGCUUACUUGGUGGCAAAAUUUCUUAUGUUCCCACUGGUAUAACUGGCCAUGGAUACAAAACGGCAUAACCCCAGAACCAACAGAACGAAUUUUACAGAUGAGAACUCUGGUUGGAUCUUGCCGAGUCGACGUUGGCAUAUGUCCGGUGGGUUCCUGUUCAACUAAAACUAAAUAUUUCAACUUUUGUCCUGGUG